rnacentral:lncRNA from 1 species
AAACGAUGGGAUAGAAAAGCAGGGCCAUAUUUUUCAUAUUGAAACUUAUAACCAAACUUUUAUACAAAACACAAACCAGAGCACUUCACAACUUUUUACUCUAUCUCUAUUCACAUCAAAAUGGAGAUCUUAAAAGAAGAUAGGAUCUCAAUCCAUCCAGGCCGUACUCAAGACCCCUCUCGGGACUAUCUUCUUCUUUAAAAAAUCCUUCUCCUCAGAUCUCACUUCCGAGUUCUCCUUCAUAGACUUCUCCUCCUCAGCUUCUCAUCGGGGUCCUGGAAUGUUUUCCCCAAAUUGGGAUGAGACUACGUCUCAGCGAGUUCUACCCCACUAAGCCCGAUUAGUAAACCAUUAUACUAUAGGCUGCCUAUACACGCACAGGGCAGAAGACGUACCUUAAUCUCAGAUCCCACCUGCAAGUCAGUACAAUUUAUAAUAGGCACCCAAGCAAUCAUAUCACUGAUCGAAGCAUCGAUCAAAUCGACCUAGUCGAUUAAAUGCCAACAAGACCACUCACGGUCAUUCCUAAUCAGUCAAUCAAUUCACGACAUCAAUCAAAGCAAUGAUCAAUCGACCUAGUCGAUUAUACAUCAGCCUGACCCUUUCCCGGUCAUUCAAGCUAUUGCUAUACAGUCUCAAUUGAUAAAACCAAUUACCGAGCCACGUGCAUUCUCUGAGGUAAUGCAUUAAUUUACCCAGCCCACGUGCCCUUUAAAAUGCCAUUUUGAAUCAACGAGCCCACGUGCAUUCUUCGAGGCGAUGCAUCAAGUCACCGAGCCCACGUGUCUCUUCAAGAUGCCAAAUGUACUCAUUGGGACCACGUGCAUUCUCUGAGGUAAUGCAUCAAAUUACCGAGCCCACGUGUCCUUUUAGAUGCCAAAUGUACUCUUUGAGACCACGUGCAUUCUCCGAGGUAAUGCAUCAAAUUACCGAGCCCACGUGUCUCUUUUAGGAUGCCACACUUAAUCACCGAGCCACAUGCAUUCUCCAAGGCGACAUACUUCGUCACCGAGCCAUGUGCAUUCUCCGAGGUGAUAUAUCUAAUCAUCAAGCCUCGUGCAUUCUCCAAGGCGACGUACUAAUCAUCGAGCCACGUGCAUUCUCCGAAGUGAUAUACCAAAUCGCCGAGCCACGUGCAUUCUCCGAGAUGACGUACUAUUCAUCGAGCCACGUGCCUUUCAUGAUGAUUCAUCCCAUUUCUAAAGUAAUUAACCACAAUUAAAUCAAUUUAGCACAAAUUAAAGCUCAAUUAAAUAAACGGACUUUGCCACGGUCAUCAGCAUAAUUUUCCAGUCACGGUCCAUCUCAGUUGAAUUUCCGAAAAAUAAAUAAAUAAUUAAUAAAUUUUGAGAAUUAAUAAUUAAUUAUAAUAAAUCCAAUUUAGCUCAAAUUGGUGCUCAGUUAAAUAAACGGACUUCACCAUAGUCAUCAGCAUAAAAUUCCGGUUCCAGACCAUCUCAGUUGAAUUUUUGAAAAAUAAAUAAUUAUUUAAUUUAAUUCCGAAAAUUAAUAUUUAAGUACAAAAAAUUCCACUUAGGCCCGAAAAGUCUAAUUGGAGCCCACUAAGGGUCGGGAAAAAUCCUGAGGCACUUCCAAUAAUUAGUAGACCACGUCUACUUGAUAAUUGCGCAAUCAAUUUAUCUAAAUCGCAUCACAAUUGACUAAUAAUUGCUAAUUUAUUCUAAUCUAACAACCUAAAUAUAAUUUAUUAAAUCUAAACCAACCUUAAGUAUACUUAGCCAACUAAUCCAGGAUUAAUGAGAUUACUCACCAAAUUGCAUGCAAAUCAGAUCAAUCCGACGAGGGCGACGCGAGGAACGAUUCUUCCCAAAGCACGGCUCGGGUUCGGGGUCCGAAAACGGCCCAAAAGCGGGCCCGAACCAGCUAGAAACCCAUUUCAUGGGUUGCUAGACGGGGCUGGCCGGGGCUGCUCCGGUGGCCAAAACAGAGAGGGGAGGCCGGCGGAGAGCAAGGGGAAUGUCGG